GGAGAAUGCUCCUGAACCCCAGUUGGAGAGGCCUGCAUGCCGGGAAAGUGGGCCGACUUCUGCUCCAGGUGCAAAUGGGACCGAGAGCCAAGUUUUGUGGGAAUAAUGGGGGAAAGAAGACAGCACCGAGCCGAGAGCCCUGAAGGAGGACCAUUACUGCCUCGAUUAUCAAUGUUGGAGCUGCUCAGGAGGAGGAGAAGGGUCAGGGUAGACGAGGCCACAGACCAGGGCAGAGCCAGCUUGGCUCCUGAGGGGUUCUCUCGCUUCUGUUUCUGCUCCUGCCGCUGCUGGUCUCUCUUUCACCCAGGUCUUUAGCAGAGCUGGGGCUUUGCAGUGACGGGAAUUGCCCAGGAGUCGCUGGAGGCGUGAGAAUGGAAAGAUGGGGCUGCUCCCCCGAGCUCACACUUCAGACAUUACCCCGGCACAGCUGUCUUGAGGACUAGAACCAUCUGUCCUCCUCCCUGCUGGGCUUCCCACCCCUGGUCACACCAGCCCUUCUCUAGGGUCCCUGCCAAGGGCCCAGGGGCCUCUCACCAGCUAACCUCCUGGCCCUCCACCUGGGAUCCAGCACCUGCCACCACAGCUGUGACUCCUCCCUGAUACACAGAGAAUACUUUAAGUACGUCCCAACUGUUGUAUGGUAUUGCUAUGGAAGAGGAUUUUGGACGGGACUGGAUGAGGUGGAAGCCACCCCGCUGGGGUGAAAUUCACCUUUGUCCUACUGGAGACUCUGGUGUAUUAAACCAAGCAUCUUUGGAAACCAUCAUUCCAAUGUUCUCAUUUUGUGAAGCAAAAAACAGAGCCCCAGAGGACUUCAAAGAAUUGCCCCUCUGUAG